GACGAAGGUCCCAAGCGUUGUUCGGAAUCACUGGGCGUAAAGGGUGCGUAGGCGGCGCGGAAAGUCAGAUGUGAAAGCCCUGGGCUCAACCCCGGAACUGCAUCCGAUACUCCCGCGCUCGAGGACUGGAGGGGAGUCUGGAAUUCACGGUGUAGCAGUGAAAUGCGUAGAUAUCGUGAGGAACACUAGUAGCGAAGGCGAGACUCUGGACAGUUCCUGACGCUGAGGCACGAAGGCCAGGGGAGCGAAGGGG
rnacentral:rRNA from 1 species